CAGAGAAAUCAACAUGAUCAGGCCAAUCAGUGUCUUUAUCAUAAUACUGUACAGCCUCACAGGGCUGGCGCUCAGUAAUAAAGUUAAUCAGUCUCCUGCUGAACUGAUGAGAGACUCUGGAGGAUCCAUGCAGCUCAACUGCAGUCAUGCCAUCUCAUCAUACAACAACAUACUGUGGUACCAUCGGGCAGCAGGGGACAGCGCCCUGACUCUGAUGGGAUAUGUAUAUUCAAAGGUUCCGACCGUAGAAACCUUAUAUAAGGAUCACUGCAGUUUGAGUGGAGAUGGAACUGAGGCAGCAUCUCUUCACAUCCCCAAAGUGAACUCCACCGACAGUGGAGUGUAUUUCUGUGCAGACUCUCAUUCGGUAACAGCGUGCAGCAGUCUCCCUCCACCCUGCUGAGAGACCCUGGAGAGUCUGUGCAACUCAACUGCAGCCACAACAUACAGAGCUAUGACACAAUACUGUGGUACCAGCAACCCCAGCAGGGAAAUGGGAUGAAGCUCCUUGGACGGGUCACUUAUAAGAAUGUAGAGAUGUAGGGUGAAAAAAGAUUCAACGUGAGUGGAGAUGGUAAACGGCAGGCGUUCCUUCACAUCGACAGGCUGGCAUUAACAGACAGUGCCGUGUAUCUGUGCGCUGCGUGGAUAUCACAGUGAUACAGGUCUCCUCUUACCCCUACAUAAACCACUUCCCCAUCCGCACUCUUCUCAGAACCAUUCAUCAUAACUGCAAGUUUUUCAUUUACAUUUUGAGCAA